rnacentral:tRNA from 1 species
GCNAGCUCAGUUGGUAGAGCACGACCUUGCCAAGGUCGGGGUCGCGAGUUCGAGUCUCGUUUCCCGCUCCA